rnacentral:misc_RNA from 1 species
AAUUCUCAACCUUCCAACUUUUAUUAGCUUGGUUAGGCUUGGAUGUGGGGGUUGCGGGCUUCAUUAACGAGGUCGGCUCUCCUUAAAUGUAUUAGCGGAACUUUUGUAGACCGUCUAUUGGUGUGAUAAUUAUCUACGCCGUGGAUGUGAAGCAGCUUUAUGAAGUUCAGCUUCUAACCGUCCCUUGACUUGGACAAUUCUUGACA